CAGUAGCCGCGGUAAUACGAGGGGUGCAAGCGUUAUUCGGAUUGAUUGGGUGUAAAGGGUGUGCAGACGGCUUAUUAAGUCACUUGUUAAAUUCUUCGGCCUAACUGAGGGUCUGCAAGUGAUACUGAAGAGCUAGAGGGUGGAAGAGAGAAGUGGAAUUCUCGGAGUAGCGGUAAAAUGCGUAGAUCUCGAGAGGAACACCAAUGGCGAAGGCAGCUUCCUGGUCCAUUCCUGACGUUCAUACACGAAAGCGUGGGGAGCAAACAGGAUUAGAUACCCGCGUAGUCCCUGUCUCUUAUAC
rnacentral:rRNA from 1 species